rnacentral:rRNA from 1 species
UACGUAGGGCGCAAGCGUUAUCCGGAAUUAUUGGGCGUAAAGAGCUCGUAGGCGGUUUGUCGCGUCUGCCGUGAAAGUCCGAGGCUCAACCUCGGAUCUGCGGUGGGUACGGGCAGACUAGAGUGAUGUAGGGGAGACUGGAAUUCCUGGUGUAGCGGUGAAAUGCGCAGAUAUCAGGAGGAACACCGGUGGCGAAGGCGGGUCUCUGGGCCGAUACUGACGCUGAGGAGCGAAAGCGUGGGGAGCGAACAGG